UACGUAGGGUGCAAGCGUUAAUCGGAAUUACUGGGCGUAAAGCGUGCGCAGGCGGUUGUGCAAGACAGAUGUGAAAUCCCCGGGCUUAACCUGGGAACUGCAUUUGUGACUGCACAGCUAGAGUGCGGCAGAGGGGGAUGGAAUUCCGCGUGUAGCAGUGAAAUGCGUAGAGAUGUGGAGGAAUACCGAUGGCGAAGGCAGCCCCCUGGGAUGACACUGACGCUGAAGCACGAAAGCGUGGGGAGCGAACAGG
rnacentral:rRNA from 1 species